ACGUUUUGCAGGCUGCCACCGUGUCGGAGGCGAGGCGAGGAAGGGAGCUGGAAUAACAAAGGUGGCAGCUGAGCAUCCCUGGAGAGGGUGGGUGGUAUGAAAGCACUUCCAGACCUCUAGGGACACCAGGGAGUCAUGGUCCCAGCACAUUGCUGUGUGAUUGAGCCCCUCCUCAGCCUGUGGGUGGCCUAAGUUCACAGGGAGGUAAUGGGGUAGAUUGGAUACCUCUGGGGUCUUGGAAGAAGCUAUGACUUAUUUACUGUCUACUAUGUGCUGAAGCCACUUGCUCAGAGCCGCACAGCAAGCCCACCACCCUGAACCUCCAGAUUACCAACUCAGCAUUGUGUCCUGACAGUGUCAUCAUAGAUGGUCAACACCGUCACCUGGGCAGCACUGAAGCCCAGAGCGGGAGAGACUGGCUCAAGACCAUGGGUCCACCAGAUGACCGGCUGGCCUCCUAAUUGGGCUUCCUGCAUUCCUGCCUGUGCUCGGAGCUCCCUUCUCCACUUGCCUGCUGGAGGAGGUUUACAAACAAAAUCAGAUCAUGGCACUCCCCUGGGGCCCUGCAUCCUGUGGCCAGCAGGUCUUGGAAACGCCCCUGUACCCCAGAAACUUCCUGAUCAGUCCCUGGUCAGUGUAUAUCAUGCUUCCUGUGACAUGACAUCAACUUUUCAGUGACUUCCACUGGUUUUGGCCCAGCUCGAAGAGCCUGACACCUCUGCAGGGAAUUCUACCAGGGAGCUCAGGAGGGGGAAUUGCACUGAAGAUUUGUCCCAUCGUGAAGCAAGAGCACUGGAACUUACACUCCACCAUCAGGCCCUGUCACAGGAGAACAAAGAAGGAAGGCAGAGGAGAUCAUGCUCCGGCCAGCAGGGAAUCUCCAUUUUUUUCAGCCUCAUACCUUGGAAAGUACAAAGGAGUGAGAGCUGGGACUACCAGCCAGAGGGUUCAUGGAGGUAGUGGGAGGGGAAGAUGGGUUCUGCAUGGAGCCACUCCAGGGACUUUUCUUCUGUCUCACAGCCUGACAAUCACCUCUAGCUGUUCUCAGUCCCAUUCUCAUCAAUGACCUCGUCUCCUGAUUUUGUACAAUAUCUAGGUGACCUUCUCUUCUUUCCAUCUUCAAACGCUUGAUCAUUGAUGCUCCCUUUUCUCUUCUCUCUCCUCCUGGGAAAAGAGAAGGACCAACAUCCCCCUUUCCCUUCCUCCUGUGCUGUCCCGACCCCUCUGAGACCUGGCUCUAGCAGUAAGUCCCUCUCUCUUCUGCAGCACCAGCCUCUGCCCAUCCCUGCCCUCUGCACACAAAGCUCUCACAUUGUCUGCACUUUAAGAACUUUUGUGGCAAACCCUGGCAAAUCCUGCCACUUGUUUCCACUCUUCUCAAAUGGCUUUGAGGUCAUCAUUGACCUAUCCCAUUUGACCCUGUCCUGUAUCUGAUGUUGUACCCUUUCUCCUUGAUCCCACUCUGGCAACUCUCCCACUCCCCUUUCUUGGAUCAACUGUCUUGCUCCUCAGUCUUGAUCAAUGCCUCCUUCUCUCUCUUUAGCCUUGGCCCUUUUUGGCCAGGGAAAUAAAUGUGAAAUACAUAAAGCUUCAUUUUAUCUUAUGAUUAUAGCUAUGUUGAUGUUACCCAAGACCUAAAAGUCACACUCUCUAAUUACACUUCCCUCCUGUGUUCUGGGUCCUCUUGGACCAGUCCUUACUCUGGCUCCCCUCCUGGAUGUCUCCCAGACUUCUAAUUAGAAUUACUGUUUCCUAUAUCAAGCUAAUUAUCUUUCCCACCAACCUCCUCCAUCCUUGGGUGAAAGCAUCACUUGGUUGCAAAAGUCAGAAAUCUGGGUUUCAUUCUUGCGGUAGGUAGAAUAAUGCCCCCAGGCCCCAGGUUUUGACAUCCGAAUCCCUGGGACUUUGCAGAUGUGAUUCAGUUUAGGAUUUUGAGAUGGGGAGAUUAUCUGGGAGAGCCUGAUGUCAUCAUAAGGUUCUUAUAAGAGGGAGGCAGGAGGGUUAGAGUGAGUAGUAAGAGAUGCAACAGUGGAAGCAAGAGGUUGGGGUGAUGUGGCCACAAGCCCAGGAGUGCUGACAGACAUCAGAAGCUGGAAGGGACAAGGAAUGGUUUCUCCUCUGGAGCCUCCAGAAAGAACCAGCCCUGCUGACACCUUGAUUUUAGCCUUGGAAGACUCAUUUUGGACUUCUGACCUUGAACGUUGUAAGAGAAUAAAUUUACAUAUUUUAAACUGGUA
rnacentral:lncRNA from 10 species